CAGUGUAUUUGUCUACAUUUCUAAUCUGUACCAGCUCACAAUUGCCUCUCUGUAGUAUUUCCUUCAAAAACAAUUAUAUUGAAUUGCAGAAAAUAAUAAACAUAAAUGUCUUUGUAGUCACGUUGCAGCACAUGAUUUCUUUUCUGAUGGAGGAAGGUUUCUUGUGUAACCUACUGCACGUUCAUGUUGAUUUCCAUACAAGGAAAUGAAAUGAGUUACCACAACCAUGCUUUCAACCACCAGUUACACACCAGCUUGCUGGCACAGGUCGUUAUCAGCAAUGCAAAGCAAAGUGCACAGAAGCAGGUGGCAUUGACUGCUACGAGAGGUGCUAUGGGGAUGUGGCAUCCGAAGGGGCAGCGCAGCUUCUCGAUCAACAACGAACAAGCCAGGAGAGAAGACACUGGACAUUUACCAGGACCCACAAGUUUCAUUUUGUAAAAAAUGAAAAUGAACCCAAUCGUUUGCUGAGGCUGCAGCUGUAAGCACUGAGACUCGAGGCUGCAUGACACUGCCAGAGCAGCUUCAAAACACAAAGAAGCUUCUCUUGGAAGAAAAAGGAGAUUCAAGAGCAUUGUCUUGAGGAUAGGAUGCUGGCACUAGAAGAGAUAAGUAAUGUCCCCAACGUUGCAGCGAUCACCUAUGAGAGAGCAGAUGUGGUGGAGUCGCUGUCCCUGGCAGCGUUCAAGAGGCAUCUGGAUGAGGAGCUACAAGAUACACUUUAGAGGCUUGUGGUAGCAAUGGUAAUGGGAGGAUGGUUGGACUAGAUGAUCUUGUAGGUCCUUUCCAACCUUGUGAUUCUAUCAUUCUAUGAUCCUUACCACCUGAGCACUUUUAUCACAAAACUGCUUUCUGAAAUUAAAGAAAACGCUCAGCAUGUAACCUACAACCUUUCUUAGAGUCCAAGAUCAUCAUAACACAUCAAGAGCAUGAGGGGGUAAAUCUUCACGUGUAAAUUUGAUUAAGCUGCAGUAAUGAAUACCAGGAAAGAGUAUGACCACAUGCACUGAAGGGCAACAAAGCUGUGAAAGGUCUGGAGCACAAGCCUUACGGGCAAUGGCUGAGAGAACUGGGAUUGUUCAGUCUGGAGAAGAGGAGGCUCAGGAGAGACCUUAUCGCUCACUACUAUGACCUGAAAGGAGGUUGUAGCAAGACAGAUGUUGGCCUCUUCUCCCAGAUAACAGUCAUAACACAAGAGGGAAUGUCCUCAAGUUAUAUCAGGAGAUAUUCAGGUUGGAUAUCAGGAAAAAAUUCCUUCUCAGAAGGAGUGGUGAUGCAGUGGCACAGGCUGCCCAGGGAGGUGGUGCAGUCACCAUCCCUGGAGGUGUUCAAGAACCGUGUGGAUGUGGCACCGAGGGAUGUGGGCAGUGGGCAUGGUGGGGGUGGGCUGAUGGUUGGACUGGACGACCUUAGAGCUCUUUCCCAACCUUUAUGAUUCUAUGACUGUAUGCACCAGCACACAGACUCAUUGGAGAAUCCAGAGGAAAAUUCAGGACAUCUGGGAAAUCUGCCUUUUGUCUGUGAAAGCAUUUGGGCUACCAGAGACAGGGAUUGAAGAGUUUGUUCUUUGUUCUCAAGGACAAACUCUUUCACAGCUUGCCAGUUUGUGACAGAGAUCAAUAAAUGGAAAAAACUGGUUCCUAACAGAAGUACAUAUACAUUUUGGAGGAUGUUUGUUAAAUAAUUCAAAUUAAAUAAUAGGUGUGGCUGAGGGUAAAUGUUAUAUGUAGCUUCAUGUUUUUACUCAAAUCCAGCAAUAACACUUCACAAACUUAACUUUAAUGGGACACCAUUAUAGGUACAGAUGCUUUGUCAAACAGGAGUGGGUUUCAUCUCACACAGAAAAAGAAGGAAAUGCUUUACGUCUUGUAUUCUUCCUGGAGAAGAGGUUAGAAGAAGCAUGAAUUUCCUUUUCAGUCCUAAUAUGUAUUUCUAUUUUUAUUAAUUUUCUUUUUAAAACUAGCUCCAGAUUUUUCUACUCCUUGCAGAAAAUUCAGAGAAUACCUUCCAUCACCCCAUCUGCUUACAAAAUAAUAUGCACUUAACUCUAUACAUGCUUAAUUCUGUAAAAGAUGCUUAGCAUGAGAAGCCCUAAGUCUGACUAGCAGUUGUUACUUUUCGUAAUUCUUCAUUAAAUGCAGGAACCUGUUUCUGGAAGAGGGAAUAUGUCGAGAUUUCCAAGC
rnacentral:lncRNA from 1 species